rnacentral:rRNA from 1 species
UACAGAGGUCCCAAGCGUUGUUCGGAUUCACUGGGCGUAAAGGGUGCGUAGGUGGUGAGGUAAGUCGGAUGUGAAAGCUCCGAGCUCAACUCGGAAAUGGCAUUGGAAACUACCUUGCUAGAGGGUUUGAGGGGGGACUGGAAUACUUGGUGUAGCAGUGAAAUUCGUAGAUAUUCGCAAGAACACCAGUGGCGAAGGCGGCUCACUGGCCCGAUACUGACGCUGAGGUGCGAAAGCGUGGGGAGCAAACAGG